GACGAACGCUGGCGGCGUGCCUAAUACAUGCAAGUCGAGCAGUGGGGACGGGUGAGUAACACGUGGGUAACCUCCCAUCAGAGGGGAUAACACUUGGAAACAGGUGCUAAACCGAUACUGAUGGAUGGACCCGCGGUUCAUUAGCAAGUUGGUGCGGUAACGGCACACCAAGGCCACGAUGCAUAGCCGACCUGAGAGGGUGAUCGGCCACACUGGGACUGAGACACGGCCCAGACUCCUACGUGAGGCAGCAGUAGGGAAUCUUCGGCAAUGGACGAAAGUCUGACCGAGCAACGCCGCGUGAGUGAAGAAGGUUUUCGGAUCGUAAAACUCUGUUGUUAGAGAAGCGGUAUCUAACCAGAAAGCCACGGCUAACUACGUGCCAGCAGCCGCGGUAAUUC
rnacentral:rRNA from 1 species